rnacentral:rRNA from 1 species
AGACGGGGGGGGCGAGCGUUGCCCGGAAUCACUGGGCUUAAAGGGGGCGUAGGCGGCUGGGUGUGUCGGGUGUGUAAUCCACCGGCUCAACCGGUGGGCUGCACUCGAUACUACCUGGCUAGAGGGCGUCAGAGGGGACCGGAACGCCCGGUGUAGCGGUGAAAUGCGUGGAUAUCGGGCGGAACGCCGGUGGGGAAGCCGGGUCCCUGGGGCGACCCUGACGCUGAGGCCCGAAAGCCAGGGGAGCGAAGGGGAUUAGAAACCCUAGUAGUCC